ACCAUUGCUUGAUUGUACUGCCUUUAUGUCGGCACUUCGUGGAGGGACGUAGUUGCUGGGCUGUGGACAGCAUCCAGGAGGCUCCCCGCCCGCGGAAACGGGAGUAGGGUAGGUACGAGAGCCUGGGAGGUCCAGCCGCUGUGCCUUGUACGCCCCAUGACCGCAGCGAACGUCCCGCCUCCCCGAGCUCGUGUGUCCUCGGCUGUCGGGGGACCGCCUGGCGCCGGGGUGCCUUGCGGUUAUCUCCGUCAAGGCCCGUCUGUGUCCGUGGCCGCCCCGGAGUCGUCGCCCUGUACGUUGUGUCCGCUUUACGGAGAAGAAGACCCAGGCUCAAAAGCCAGCCAUUCUGAGGUCUUGACCCAGCAUGUAGCUGGACUGCGGGCGUGAUAAGCGAGCCGAUCGACUAGGCACGGAUGAGGUAGAGUCUCCUGACCUCCACCUGGCUGGACUCCGAACCCCAGUGCCCCAAGUCCCUGACUCAGCCUCAGGCCUGGGUGUUCAGGACAGUGGAACGUUCACAGACUGCAGUGCACUGGUGGCCUGGACCAGGGAAGAUGCUGAGAAUGGGAUUUUGGAAGGAAACUCUUAGGUUGUUACAGAUAGGCCUUGAGUGCAGUCACCCAACUUGAACAUCGAAAGGGGACCUGGCUGGUGGACAGGGUGGCUCGAAUCAGUUCAUGACCAGAGACCCACGGAAGACCAGUCCUGGUGAGUGCAAGACAGGUGUGGAAGGGCCUGUGGCAGUGGGCUGAUCUCUUACCUGGUGCCUGACCUGUGUCUUCUGUUGCCCUGGCAUCAAUGUGAGCACCCAUGCCUCUUUUCUAUCUUUCUGACACCCCUUCCUAAUUUCCUCUGACUUCCUGUCCCCUGGCUAACCCCUCUUGGUCCUUUGCCUCUCAGCCUCUCUCUUUCUCCCCUCUUAUGGCCAGGUCCUCCAUCACUGGCCUCCCCUUCACAUAUCCUUAAAUAGUUCUUGAAAACCUGUUCUUCCAUGAGCCUGACUUGUUCCCUCUGAGGAAGGUGAGCACAGUGUCAGGGGUCCCAGGCCUGGACUCCGCUCACUGCACAGCACCUGUCUGUCACCAGACACUGAGGCCCUGCCAGCUCCCCAUUCUGCAGAAUCCACAGAGAGCUGACACUGAAAGAGACACCUGAUCAAUGCACAGCAAAUGGAGAGGUGUUCAAGGAGAGGUGUUCCCUUUUCUACCACCAAAAAAAACCUUAAGAAUGGGAAAAAAAAUCCCAAGUGCAUUUUGAAGGCCUUCACCUUUGUCUCCAUCCUGAGAAAGCAGGAGUACAUUCACACCUUUGAAUGUUACAUGAGAAAGCCUCCAGCCAGACCUCUAUUUCCAUUGAGCACCAAAAUAUUUGCCCCAUAGAAAGCCCUUAUGAGGGCUUCCCUAGUGGCGCAGUGGUUGAGAAUCUGCCUACCAAUGCAGGGGACACAGGUUUGAGCCCUGGUCUGGGAAGAUCCCACAUGCCGCGGAGCAACUAGGCCCGUGAGCCACAAUUACUGAGCCUGCGCGUCUGGAGCUUGUGCUCCGCAACAAGAGAGGCCGCGAUAGUGAGAGGCCCGCGCACGGCGAUGAAGAGUGGCCCCCACUUGCCGCAACAAGAGAAAGCCCUUGCACAGAAACGAAGACCCAACACAGCCAUAAAUAAAUAAAUAAAUAAAAAUUUAAAAAAAAAUGUCUCUGCUUAGGCUUACUAAAUACACUGAAAGGAAACACAAAAUCAAUGUUAGCUGAAAAAAGAAAGCCCUAUGAGGGCAGGGAGUGUGGCCCAAAAUUUUGAGCAAAAUUUUGCACUUCCCCCUGUACCAAAGCAUUCACACUGAUAAAGGACUCACAAGUGUGGAGAACGGGCAUCUCCAUUCAGAGCUCCACUCUUGUUAGCACCAGAAAAUUCACACCAGGCAACAGUUGUGCAAAUGUAGUAACUACAUGAAAACUUUCAGGAAAAUAUGAAACCUGUUUCAUGCAGUCACCAUCGGAGAAAGGCAUAAUGAGUACAGCUCGUGUUGGAAAGCCUCCUCUCAGAGU